UACAGCCACACCGCAUUGAAACACCAGUUUACGUACGUUCGCCGAAGUUAAGCAACGUCGAACCUGGUCAGUAUCUAGAUGGGUGACCGCUUGGGAAUACCAGAUGUUAUA